UUCUUAUUAAAUGAUGACUGUCACGUGUGUCCUGUUCUGAUUGGAUGUUAACUCAAUGAAAGAUGAAAUGCAUUAUUAUUUUCAUUGACUAAUUAGAACAUGACACGCCAUAAUCCAAUAAGAAUGUGAUAUGUGACAAUCAACAUCA
rfam:Glycine soja cultivar W05 scaffold2503_3, whole genome shotgun sequence.